AACUCAUGGUGAUAGCACCGUCUCAAUAAGUCCUUAUACCUCUCCCAUGCAUCAUAUAGGGUCUCUAAAUUGAUUUGAACGAAGGAAGAAAUAUCAUUCCUCAACUU
rfam:Gossypium arboreum cultivar AKA8401 contig_422_13, whole genome shotgun sequence.